rnacentral:rRNA from 1 species
CCCGGACCGCCGGCUAAGGUCCCGAAUGUAUGCUGAGUGUGAAAUGAUGUGUGAUGGCGAAGACAGCCAGGAGGUUGGCUUAGAAGCAGCCAUUCCUUGAAAGAGUGCGUAAUAGCUCACUGGUCGAGUCAUGACGCGCAGACAAUGUAACGGGGCUAAGCAUACAACCGAAGCCGCGGGUUCAGCAUGCAAGUGCUGGACGGUAGGGGAGCAUUCCACGGACCGACGAAGGCGAGCUGAAAGGCGAGCUGGAGGUAGUGGAAGAGAGAAUGCAGGUAUAAGUAAACGAAAAGACGGGUGAGAUUCCCGUCCGCCGAAAGCCUAAGGAUUCCUGGGUAAAGGUCAUCUGCCCAGGGUAAGUCGGCCCCUAAGGCGAGGACGAAAGUCGUAGCCGAUGGGAAACUGGUUCAAAUUCCAGUACCAUUCCUGGUAUUAUGGGAUGACGCGUGAGGUGAAGCCCGGCCGGGCGACGGUUGCCCCGGUCGAAGCCGCAAGUUAGUGAGCCGGAGAAAACGGCUCAGAUGAGCGGUGACAGCGAGCGGAGCUACGGCAAAGCGAAGCGGGUAGAGUCAAGGCGCCCAGAAAUAAUCCCCACUAGACAGGCCAGAAGACCGUACCGUAAACCGACACAGGUAGGCGGGAUGAGCAAUCUAAGGCGCUCGAGAGAACUCGCGUUAAGGAACUCGGCAAAAUGCGCAUGUAACUUCGGGAGAAGUGCGACCGGAUGUGGUUUAGCAAUAGGUUAUGUCCGGUGACACAAAGCAGUCCCAGGCGACUGUUUAUCAAAAACACAGGCCUCUGCAAAUCAGCAAUGAGACGUAUAGGUGCUGAACACC